ACGACAUCCAGGCCAUUGUGCUCCGCUCACAAUAGUUCAUUUGCUCCUUCUGGUCAGCCCACGAGGUAAGCAGUGAUGGCUAUGUCACAGAAAAGGGGGCCCAAAGCUGCAAGCACUGAGUUAACUGGCCCAGGCGCCUGGACGAGAAGAUGCAGAAGCUGAGACUCAGAGCAGACAGUGAGGUGACCUGUGCAAGUUCACAGAUGGAAUUGCU
rnacentral:lncRNA from 1 species